UCGAGAAUCAUUCACAAUGGGCGAAAGCCUGAUGGUGCGACGCCGCGUGGAGGAUGAAGGCCCUCGGGUUGUAAACUCCUGUCAAGUGGGAACAAGAAAGUGAUAGUACCACUAGAGGAAGAGACGGCUAACUCUGUGCCAGCAGCCGCGGUAAUACAGAGGUCUCAAGCGUUGUUCGGAUUUACUGGGCGUAAAGGGUGCGUAGGCGGCGAGGUAAGUCGAGUGUGAAAUUUCGGGGCUCAACCCCGAAACUGCACUCGAUACUGCUUUGCUCGAGGAUUGUAGAGGAGUGUGGAAUUCACGGUGUAGCAGUGAAAUGCGUAGAUAUCGUGAGGAAGACCAGUGGCGAAGGCGACACUCUGGGCAACUCCUGACGCUGAGGCACGAAGGCCAGGGGAGC
rnacentral:rRNA from 1 species